AUCCAGCUGACGAGUCACAAACAAUACGAAACGCACGUCAAACUGGAU
rnacentral:hammerhead_ribozyme from 1 species